rnacentral:rRNA from 1 species
GACGAACGCUGGCGGCGCGCCUAACACAUGCAAGUCGAACGAGCGAGAGAGAGCUUGCUUUCUCAAGCGAGUGGCGAACGGGUGAGUAACGCGUGAGGAACCUGCCUCAAAGAGGGGGACAACAGUUGGAAACGACUGCUAAUACCGCAUAAGCCCACGACCCGGCAUCGGGUAGAGGGAAAAGGAGCAAUCCGCUUUGAGAUGGCCUCGCGUCCGAUUAGCUAGUUGGUGAGGUAACGGCCCACCAAGGCGACGAUCGGUAGCCGGACUGAGAGGUUGAACGGCCACAUUGGGACUGAGACACAGCCCAGACUCCUACGGGAGGCAGCAGUGGGGAAUAUUGCACAAUGGGGGAAACCCUGAUGCAGCGACGCCGCGUGGAGGAAGAAGGUCUUCGGAUUGUAAACUCCUGUUGUUGAGGAAGAUAAUGACGGUACUCAACAAGGAAGUGACGGCUAACUACGUG